UGGGGAAUAUUGCACAAUGGGCGCAAGCCUGAUGCAGCCAUGCCGCGUGUGUGAAGAAGGCCUUCGGGUUGUAAAGCACUUUCAGCGGGGAGGAAGGCGUUAAGGUUAAUAACCUUGGCGAUUGACGUUACCCGCAGAAGAAGCACCGGCUAACUCCGUGCCAGCAGCCGCGGUAAUACGGAGGGUGCAAGCGUUAAUCGGAAUUACUGGGCGUAAAGCGCACGCAGGCGGUUUGUUAAGUCAGAUGUGAAAUCCCCGGGCUCAACCUGGGAACUGCAUCUGAUACUGGCAAGCUUGAGUCUCGUAGAGGGGGGUAGAAUUCCAGGUGUAGCGGUGAAAUGCGUAGAGAUCUGGAGGAAUACCGGUGGCGAUGGCGGCCCCCUGGACGAAGACUGACGCUCAGGUGCGAAAGCGUGGGGAGCAAACAGG
rnacentral:rRNA from 1 species